rnacentral:ncRNA from 1 species
CAGCAGGUGCGAAUCCUGUCCGGCUAAUCGAUCGCUCAGCCGGAAGCAGCCAGAGCGGCGAAGGAGGUAACAAAUUCGUUGAAGUACUCUGCGUAAAGGUCACCUUGGGUGAUCGAGCGAACGCGUAGGCCGAAACGUGA